GACGAACGCUGGCGGCGUGCUUAACACAUGCAAGUCGAACGAAGUGGCGAACGGGUGAGUAACGCGUAAUUAACCUGCCCUUCAGAGGGGGACAACAGUUGGAAACGACUGCUAAUACCGCAUACUGAUGGAGGGGAUUGCGUCUUAUUAGCUAGUUGGAGGGGCAACGGCCCACCAAGGCGAUGAUCAGUAGCCGGUCUGGAGGGAGUGACGGCCACAAUGGGACUGGGGAACGGCCCAGACUCCUUCGGGAGGCAGCAGUGGGGAAUCUUCCGCAAUGGACGAAAGUCUUACGGAGCAACGCCGGGGGGGUGAUGACGGCCUUCAGGUUGUAAAGCUCUGUUAAUCGGGACGCGGUACCGGAAUAGAAAGCCACGGCUAACUACGUGCCAGCAGCCGCGGUAAUAC
rnacentral:rRNA from 1 species